CCAACUGUCAUCUUCCAACUGUCAUCCCUGGUCACUUCAUGCUCUCCCUCUAAUACUCUGAAAUGCACUCUCAUCUCAUUUCUUCUGAGAGCUGCAUCCCAUAGGUUCCAUCACCUUUUCCCUACCCCCUUUUUCUUCUUACACUCAUGUCAGAUAAACAAUUACCAUAACACUCUAGAGGUAAACACAUCUCUUUUCUUCUCCUUCCAUCUAUCAAAGGACGUGGCAAAUAUUUCUACUGAAAAUUACACAAAACAAUGGUCGUUUCAAAUUUAAAUCCACAAAGCCAGCAUCGUCAUAUUAGAUGCAUGCCCCACCGGGUGAGACUCACAAUGGUUGAAUAUGCCUCUUAAGUCCUAUUACUACAGAAGAAUUUCAUGGUUCCCUAUAGAGGAAUUUUAAUCCAGCAACAUGGCUGCUCCGGCAAGGAAUCAUACCCAAAGAUAUGAUUCUGCCAGCAUGAAGAUCCUCUCUGGAUUACAAUAAGAUACAGCCAAAAUACAGGCAUGCACUUAGUACACACCUUUAAUAUAGGAAAAUGGUUUGUUACAUUUGCAUCUAAUGCUGUAUUCCGAGGCUCUUCCUGACAUCUCUCUCUGACUUCAACUUAAGGAAAUUUUCAACUUGUCUUUGGAAACCUUUAUAAAUUCAAGAGUUACUUUAUGUACUUAGAGAUUUUGCUUGCUCAGCCAAAUGUUAUUAAAAAAUAAUAUUUUAUAGCUAAAACAAUAAACAGAAUAAAAUCUCACCUGGAUCUUAAAGCAGGAAGACAUGCCUUUAGUCCAGAUCAUAUGACCUAGGAAAAGACACUUCUCUCAUCCUGAUGUUGAGUUGGGAAGGCACAGCUAUACUCCAGAUCAUCUGAGUUUGGACAACCCACAUCUAAAUGGGCCACACUUUCUUCUGGAAGCCUGUAUAAGAGCAGAAAAGAAGGAUACCUUUGCCUAUUUACCCCACCUUGCUAGUAAGUUCAUUUCUUCAGUUACUUUAGAACCUAUUUCUUCAGAAUUCCAGAGUACACCAAAGAUCAAAUGAGACAGCCAGCCUUAUGAACUGAGAAAUUACUUGAUUUUUAGGCCUUCCAUUGGAUUAGCUAGACUGCAGCCUGUAAGUCAUUCCAAUAAAUCCCCCUUGUAUAUGCUUGGUCCAGGGAGUUGUACUGCUAGGAGACACGGCCUUGUUGAACGAAGUGUUUCACUGUGUUGGUAGGCUUGGAGACCCACCUCCUAGUUGCCUGGUAGAUAGUAGUCUGCUCCUGGAUUCCUUUGGAAGAAGAUGUAGAACUCUUAGCUCCUCUAGUGCCAUGGCUGCCUGGAUCUUGCAGUGUUCCUACCUUAAUGAUAAUGGACUGAACCUCUCAACCUGUAAGCCAAUCCCAAUUAAAAGUUGUCUCAAUAUAAGAGGCCUUGGAGGGAGAGAUGCCUGUGUGUGACACACAAGUCUCGACAUCAUCAAGUACCACCCAUCAUAAGAAGCAGCUUGGAACAUUCUGUGCUUUGUGAUCCAUAGAACCUGUGUGAGAAAUCAGCCAUUCUGCCAUGUCACCUAUUCCUAUGGUGCUUGUAAGGAUUUGAGAAGUUUGUAUCAGGAAGUUGGGAGUUGAAUUAGAGGCAAUCUUACCAUUGAGACCAUGUAUUAUUUCUAUGGGACUGUGAAGUAGUUACUGUCCCAGUGAAGCUUUCUUUUUCAGGACACAAUGACUCUGAAACUUUAAGUCCAUUGUUUGAGUGAUGUAUUGGUGAAGGGGAGAAAUCCUGCCUCCUAUGCCUUAAUAGUCACAUCAAAUAAUUUGAAAGGGAAGGGUUGAUAACUUGAUGACCAACUGCAGCAUCUUGAUGAAAAUAUAUUCAAUGAAACUCAGAUUAUUUAAAAUAUAUUUCCUGUGACCAGCAUCAGUUUCCUCUAGCAAUCCAAUUCACCCGAUUCUUCAAGCAAACUAUCAACAGGUGAUGCCACUCUUCUGGAAACCUGACCACUCAUGCCACGUGAGAGCACUGAAGCAAAUAGCUGCACAAGCCUUUGAAGUAGCCUCUGCAUAGGAAACUGGACACUCUACGGAAAAAAAAAUGACAGCCUGGCUUUUCAAAGAUGGAAUUUAUCAUAACAGUCCACUUCUAAACGACUCUUGCACUGUGCAUGCUGAAGAAUAUAGACAAAAUGUCAACCGCAACAGGAUCCGGGUUUCUAGGC
rnacentral:lncRNA from 1 species